rnacentral:rRNA from 1 species
CAUGUCUANNUAUAAGCACUUAUACCGCGAAACUGCGAAUGGCUCAUUAAAUCAGUUAUCGUUUAUUUGAUAGUACCUUACUACAUGGAUAACCGUGGUAAUUCUAGAGCUAAUACAUGCUAAAAAUCCCGACUUCGGAAGGGAUGUAUUUAUUAGAUUAAAAACCAAUGCCCUUCGGGGCUCUCUGGUGAUUCAUAAUAACUUCUCGAAUCGCACGGCCUUGCGCCGGCGAUGGUUCAUUCAAAUUUCUGCCCUAUCAACUUUCGACGGCUGGGUCUUGGCCAGCCGUGGUGACAACGGGUAACGGAGGGUUAGGGCUCGACCCCGGAGAAGGAGCCUGAGAAACGGCUACUACAUCCAAGGAAGGCAGCAGGCGCGCAAAUUACCCAAUCCCGACACGGGGAGGUAGUGACAAUAAAUACUGAUACAGGGCUCUUUCGGGUCUUGUAAUUGGAAUGAGUACAAUUUAAAUCCCUUAACGAGGAACAAU